rnacentral:rRNA from 1 species
CAGUAGCCGCGGGAAUACGUAGGGUGCAAGCGUUAAUCGGAAUUACUGGGCGUAAAGCGCACGUAGGCGGCUUGGUAAGUUAGAGGUGAAAGCCCGGAGCUCAACUCCGGAAUUGCCUUUAAGACUGCCGAGCUAGCAGGUGAGAGAGGUAAGUGGAAUUCCGAGUGUAGAGGUGAAAUUCGUAGAUAUUCGGAAGAACACCAGUGGCGAAGGCGGCUUACUGGCUCAUACUGGACGCUGAGGUACGAAAGCAUGGGGAGCAAACAGGAUUAGAUACCCGGGUAGUCCCUGUCUCUUAUAC